rnacentral:rRNA from 1 species
AGAGUUUGAUCCUGGCUCAGGAUGAACGCUGGCGGCGUGCCUAACACAUGCAAGUCGAACGGAGUUACUUUGGUGAAGUUUUCGGAUGGAUCUGAUUUAACUUAGUGGCGGACGGGUGAGUAAUGCGUGAGCAACCUGCCCUUCAGAGGGGGACAACAGUUGGAAACGACUGCUAAUACCGCAUAAUGUAUUCGGAAGGCAUCUUCUGGAUACCAAAGGAGAAAUCCGCUGAUGGAUGGGCUCACGUCUGAUUAGCUAGUUGGUGAGGUAACGGCUCACCAAGGCUGCGAUCAGUAGCCGGACUGAGAGGUUGAACGGCCACAUUGGGACUGAGAUACGGCCCAGACUCCUACGGGAGGCAGCAGUGGGGAAUAUUGGGCAAUGGGCGAAAGCCUGACCCAGCAACGCCGCGUGAAGGAAGAAGGCCUUCGGGUUGUAAACUUCUUUUAAGAGGGACGAAGAAGUGACGGUACCUCUUGAAUAAGCCACGGCUAACUACGUGCCAGCAGCCGCGGUAAUACGUAGGUGGCGAGCGUUAUCCGGAAUUAUUGGGCGUAAAGAGGGAGCAGGCGGCACUAAGGGUCUGUGGUGAAAGAUCGAAGCUUAACUUCGGUAAGCCAUGGAAACCGUAGAGCUAGAGUGUGUGAGAGGAUCGUGGAAUUCCAUGUGUAGCGGUGAAAUGCGUAGAUAUAUGGAGGAACACCAGUGGCGAAGGCGACGAUCUGGCGCAUAACUGACGCUCAGUCCCGAAAGCGUGGGGAGCAAAUAGGAUUAGAUACCCUAGUAGUCCACGCCGUAAACGAUGAGUACUAAGUGUUGGGAGUCAAAUCUCAGUGCUGCAGUUAACGCAAUAAGUACUCCGCCUGAGUAGUACGUUCGCAAGAAUGAAACUCAAAGGAAUUGACGGGGGCCCGCACAAGCGGUGGAGCAUGUGGUUUAAUUCGAAGCAACGCGAAGAACCUUA